UCGGAUUUUCUGCACCUCCCGCGGUGCACAAAGAAUUUCUCUAGAUACGAGAAUUACUCGCUCCCUGGAGUCCGGUUUCCUUCAUAGGUUCGAUGGCGACUUUGGCGACUGAUGUUGAUGGACACGAUGGCUACUGCUGACUGUAAUGAUAUCAUAAGAAAUCAGGUGGUGUGAGUCAAAACAUACCGCAAGGAUAAGUUCUUCCAAGCGACUGCCAAAACCCCAAAUAGGAGCUGCCACGGUCACUAAUUUGUAUGUUGUCAUGACCGGAUGACAUGUGUCCUGCAAACAGUGCAAUGGAUGUGUAAAUCACAUUAUGUGGUCUUUUUUUUUCUUACAUGCAAGAUGCAAAGCUUGCCAGCAUGCUCUUGUCGAAUAGAAAGCAGAUACAGUUGGCCAUCAAAUGAAUGAAAAGGAUCUACUGGAAAAAUACCUCUGUAGAUGAUAUAUCUUUGAUGUAUAUUGGCCCUUUCCAAGCAGUUCAUCUUCGAAAGUGACAUGGGCAUCACAAUCCGGCUACGAAGAAAGACUGGUCAAGGUGAACAAAAAGAGAGAAGCAAGGCUAGCUUUUUGGAAAUGAUUUCUUCUCUCUGUUGCAGUGCUGGUUGUAUAAUGAAGCGAGACACUUCCACCAGCUUUAUUGAUUGAAAAGUGGACUAAUGUAUGAAACUCGAAAGAACAUUUCUUUUUGAUGAUUUAGAGAACAUGCAAAUGGAAAGCAAAUCUAUCAAACA